rnacentral:pre_miRNA from 1 species
CUCCGGCGGCUCGCCGAGCUCUCGCCGCCAUCGGAUGCACGGUGAGAUAGUAUUUUUAUGAUUAGUUUUUUUAUUGUUAUUAGAUGAUAAAAUAUGAAUAAUAAUUUAUACAUAAUUUAUGUUUUUUAUUUUUUUUAAAAAAAAGAUAAAUAAGACGGGCAAUUAAAAUUGAACAUAGAAACUUAUGGGUGCACUUAAA